CACACGUCAACACUCCAUGUUUCGCAUUAGCAAAAAAUUUUUUGUUGCAAACAACAAAAAUUAAACCAAAAAAAUAAUCAUAAGACACCGUCAUCGUUCCUCUUUUUAUUUGCAGUCAUAUAUCGAAAGGCGCCGCGAAGCACUAACAAUUUUUCUCAAUAAAUAUUUUCACUGGAAGAGGAGAAAGAUUCCACUCGGAUGGUAUAAACGUGAUCGUAAUUAUAUUUAUGGUUUUCGUUUGUUAUCAGGUGUGAAAUAAAAGUGAUCGAAAAAUGUUUCCACAUUUUUUUUGUAGCAUGCAUUUUAGUUACCAUAAAUUAAGAAAAUACAACUUGUUGAAUAGAACAGAAUGUCGAAUGUGAACAAGUUAGAG